AUUGAACGCUGGCGGCAGGCCUAACACAUGCAAGUCGAACGGAGCGGCGGACGGGUGAGUAAUGUUUGGGAAUCUGGCCUAUGGAGGGGGAUAACGACUGGAAACUGUUGCUAAUACCGCCUACCAUAGGAUGAGCCCAUGUGGGAUUAGCUAGUUGGUGGGGUAAAGGCUUACCAAGGCGACGAUCUCUAGCUGGUCUGAGAGGAUGAUCAGUCACACUGGAACUGAGACACGGUCCAGACUCCUACGGGAGGCAGCAGUGGGGAAUAUUGGACAAUGGGCGAAAGCCUGAUGCAGCCAUGCCGCGUGUGUGAAGAAGGUCUUCGGGUUGUAAAGCACUUUCAGUUGGGAGGCGUUACCGACAGAAUAAGCACCGGCUAACUUCGUGCCAGCAGCCGCGGUAAUAC
rnacentral:rRNA from 1 species